rnacentral:rRNA from 1 species
CAGUCGCCGCGGGAAUACGUAGGGACCAAGCGUUGUCCGGAAUCAUUGGGCGUAAAGCGCGCGUAGGUGGCCAUUUAAGUCCGCUGUGAAAGUCAAAGGCUCAACCUUUGAAAGCCAGUGGAUACUGGAUGGCUAGAGUACGGAAGAGGCGAGUGGAAUUCCUGGUGUAGCGGUGGAAUGCGCAGAUAUCAGGAGGAACACCAAUAGCGAAGGCAGCUCGCUGGGACGUUACUGACACUGAGGCGCGAAAGCGUGGGGAGCGAACAGGAUUAGAUACCCGUGUAGUCCCUGUCUCUUAUAA